AUGAACGCUGGCGGCGUGCCUAAUACAUGCAAGUCGAGCGAACAGACGAGGAGCUUGCUCCUCUGACGUUAGCGGCGGACGGGUGAGUAACACGUGGAUAACCUACCUAUAAGACUGGGAUAACUUCGGGAAACCGGAGCUAAUACCGGAUAAUAUAUUGAACCGCAUGGUUCAAUAGUGAAAGACGGUUUUGCUGUCACUUAUAGAUGGAUCCGCGCCGCAUUAGCUAGUUGGUAAGGUAACGGCUUACCAAGGCAACGAUGCGUAGCCGACCUGAGAGGGGUGUCCGCCACACUUGAACUGAGACACGGUCCAGACCCCCACGGGAAGCAGCAGUAGGGAAUCUUCCGCAAUGGGCGAAAGCCUGACGGAGCAACGCCGCGUGAGUGAUGAAGGUCUUCGGAUCGUAAAACUCUGUUAUUAGGGAAGAACAAAUGUGUAAGUAACUAUGCACGUCUUGACGGUACCUAAUCAGAAAGCCACGGCUAACUACGUG
rnacentral:rRNA from 1 species